GCCGGGUGUGGUGGCGGGCGCCUGUAGUCCCAACUACUGGGGAGGCUGAGGCAGGAGAAUGGCGUGAACCCGGGAGGCAGAGCUCGCAGUGAGCAGAGAUUGUGCCACUGCACUCCAGCCUGGGCGACAGAGUGAGUCUGAUUUUUUUUGAGAAAGAGUCUCACUCUGUUGCCCAGGCUGGAAUGCAGUGGCACAAUCUCGGCUCACUGCAACCUCCACCUCCCAGAUUCAAGCAGUUCUCCCGC
rnacentral:lncRNA from 1 species